GAUCAUGGCUCAGGAUGAACGCUGGCGGCGUGCCUAACACAUGCAAGUCGAGCGGAUUUACUUCGGUAAAGAGCGGCGGACGGGUUGAGUAACGCGUGGGUAACCUGCCCUAUACACACGGAUAACAUACCGAAAGGUAUGCUAAUACGAGAUAAUAUAAGAAAUUCGCAUGGAUUUCUUAUCAAAGCUCCGGCGGUAUAGGAUGGACCCGCGUCUGAUUAGCUAGUUGGUAAGGUAACGGCUUACCAAGGCG
rnacentral:rRNA from 1 species